GCCGACAUAGCUCAUUUGGUAGAGCAACUCCAUGGUAAGGAGUAGGUGCUCGGUUCAAAUCCGAGUGUCGGCU
rnacentral:tRNA from 2 species